rnacentral:tRNA from 1 species
GCCCACGUGGCGGAAUUGGUAGACGCACUACCUUGAGGUGGUAGCGACGACAGUCGUGGGGGUUCGAGUCCCCCCUUGGGCACCA